UGCGUAGGCGGUCAUAUUAGUCUUAUGUUAAAUCCUUAAGCUCAACUUAAGGCCCGCAUAGGAAACGGUAUGACUUGAAGAAGUGAGAGGUGAACAGAACUCUCGGUGUAGGGGUGAAAUCCGUUGAUAUCGAGGGGAAGUACCAAAUGCGAAGGCAGUUCACUGGCACUUUCUUGACGCUGAGGCACGAAAGCGUGGGUAGCGAACG
rnacentral:rRNA from 1 species